rnacentral:rRNA from 1 species
UAGCUAGUUGGUGAGGUAAAGGCUUACCAAGGCGACGAUCUGUAGCGGGUCUGAGAGGAUGAUCCGCCACACUGGAACUGAGACACGGUCCAGACUCCUACGGGAGGCAGCAGUGGGGAAUUUUGGACAAUGGGGGCAACCCUGAUCCAGCCAUGCCGCGUGAGUGAAGAAGGCCUUCGGGUUGUAAAGCUCUUUCGGCCGGGAAGAAAUCGCAUGGGCCAAUACCCUGUGUGGAUGACGGUACCGGAAUAAGAAGCACCGGCUAACUACGUGCCAGCAGCCGCGGUAAUACGUAGGGUGCGAGCGUUAAUCGGAAUUACUGGGCGUAAAGCGUGCGCAGGCGGUUUUGUAAGACAGGCGUGAAAUCCCCGGGCUUAACCUGGGAACUGCGUUUGUGACUGCAAGGCUAGAGUACGGCAGAGGGGGGUGGAAUUCCACGUGUAGCAGUGAAAUGCGUAGAGAUGUGGAGGAACACCAAUGGCGAAGGCAGCCCCCUGGGUCGAUACUGACGCUCAUGCACGAAAGCGUGGGUAGCAAACAGGAUUAGAUACCCUGGUAGUCCACGCCCUAAACUAUGUCAACUAGGUGUUGGGUGGGUAAAACCAUUUAGUACCGUAGCUAACGCGUGAAGUUGACCGCCUGGGGAGUACGGCCGCAAGGUUAAAACUCAAAGGAAUUGACGGGGACCCGCACAAGCGGUGGAUGAUGUGGAUUAAUUCGAUGCAACGCGAAAAACCUUACCUACCCUUGACAUGCCAGGAACUUGCCAGAGAUGGCUUGGUGCCCGAAAGGGAGCCUGGACACAGGUGCUGCAUGGCUGUCGUCAGCUCGCGUCGUGAGAUGUUGGGUUAAGUCCCGCAACGAGCGCAACCCUUGUCGUUAAUUGCCAUCAUUUGGUUGGGCACUUUAACGAGACUGCCGGUGACAAACCGGAGGAAGGUGGGGAUGACGUCAAGUCCUCAUGGCCCUUAUGGGUAGGGCUUCACACGUCAUACAAUGGUCGGUACAAAGGGUUGCCAAGCCGCGAGGCGGAGCCAAUCCCAAAAGCCGAUCGUAGUCCGGAUUGCAGGCUGCAACUCGCCUGCAUGAAGUCGGAAUCGCUAGUAAUCGUGGAUCAGCAUGUCACGGUGAAUACGUUCCCGGGUCUUGUACACACCGCCCGUCACACCAUGGGAGCGGGUUCCGCCAGAAGUAGGUAGCCUAACCGCAAGGGGGGCGCUUACCACGGCGGGGUUCGUGACUGGGGUGAAGUCGUAACAAGGUAGCCGUAGGGGAACCUGCGGCUG